GGCUCAGUAACACGUGGAUAAUCUACCCUGCGGAGGGGGAUAACCCCGGGAAACUGGGGAUAAUACCCCAUAGACUAUGGAUGCUGGAAUGCUCUGUAGCCGAAAGGUCCGCCGCCGCAGGAUGAGUCUGCGGCCGAUUAGGUUGUUGUUGGGGUAACGGCCAACAAGCCUGUAAUCGGUACGGGUUGUGGGAGCAAGAGCCCGGAGAUGGAUUCUGAGACACGAAUCCAGGCCCUACGGGGCGCAGCAGGCGCGAAAACUUUGCAAUGCGGGAAACCGUGACAAGGGAACUCCGAGUGCCCGUAAAUUCGGGCUGUCCGCCAGUUUAAAUCACUGGUGAAGAAAGGGCCGGGCAAGACCGGUGCCAGCCGCCGCGGUAAUACCGGCGGCUCGAGUGGUGGCCACUAUUACUGGGCUUAAAGCGUUCGUAGCUGGUCUGUUAAGUCUCUGGGGAAAUCUUCCGGCUUAACCGGAAGGCGUCUCAGGGAUACUGGCAGACUAGGGACCGGGAGAGGUGAGGGGUACUCCAGGGGUAGGAGUGAAAUCCUGUAAUCCUUGGGGGACCACCUGUGGCGAAGGCGCCUCACCAGAACGGCUCCGACAGUGAGGAACGAAAGCUGGGGGAGCAAACCGGAUUAGAUACCCGGGUAGUCCCAGCUGUAAACGAUGCGCGUUAGGUGUAUCGGUGACCACGAGUCACCGAGGUGCCGAAGAGAAAUCGUGAAACGUGCCGCCUGGGAAGUACGGUCGCAAGGCUGAAACUCAAAGGAAUUGACGG
rnacentral:rRNA from 1 species